UACGGGGGGGGCAAGCAUUGUUCGGAAUUACUGGGCGUAAAGGGCUCGUAGGUGGCCAAUUAAGUCAGACGUGAAAUCCCCAGGCUUAACCUGGGAACUGCGUCUGAUACUGGUUGGCUUGAAUUCGGGAGAGGGAUGCAGAAUUCCAGGUGUAGCGGUGAAAUGCGUAGAUAUCUGGAGGAAUACCGGUGGCGAAGGCGGCAUCCUGGACCGGCAUUGACGCUGAGGAGCGAAAGCCAGGGGAGCAAACGGG
rnacentral:rRNA from 1 species